AUUGAACGCUGGCGGCAGGCCUAACACAUGCAAGUCGAGCGGAUGAAGGGAGCUUGCUCCUGGAUUCAGCGGCGGACGGGUGAGUAAUGCCUAGGAAUCUGCCUGGUAGUGGGGGAUAACGUCCGGAAACGGGCGCUAAUACCGCAUACGACCUGAGGGAGAAAGUGGGGGAUCUUCGGACCUCACGCUAUCAGAUGAGCCUAGGUCGGAUUAGCUAGUUGGUGGGGUAAAGGCCUACCAAGGCGACGAUCCGUAACUGGUCUGAGAGGAUGAUCAGUCACACUGGAACUGAGACACGGUCCAGACUCCUACGGGAGGCAGCAGUGGGGAAUAUUGGACAAUGGGCGAAAGCCUGAUCCAGCCAUGCCGCGUGUGUGAAGAAGGUCUUAGGAUUGUAAAGCACUUUAAGUUGGGAGGAAGGGCAGUAAGUUAAUACCUUGCUGUUUUGACGUUACCAACAGAAUAAGCACCGGCUAACUUCGUG
rnacentral:rRNA from 1 species